rnacentral:tRNA from 1 species
GGGCCGUUAGCUCAGUUGGUAGAGCAGCUGACUCUUAAUCAGCGGGCCGCAGGUUCGAUCCCUGCACGGCCCA